GCUGUGCACGGGCUUUCUCUAGUUGCAGCGAGCGGGGUCUACUCUUCGUUGCGGUGCGCGGGCUUCUCAUUGCGGUGGUUUCUCUUGUUGCGGAGCAUGGGCUCUAGGCGUGUGGGCUUCGGUAGUUGUGGCGCAUGGGAUUAGUUGCUCCGCGGCAUGUAGGAUCUUCCUGGACCAGGGCUCAAACCCAUGUCCCCUACAUUGGCAGGCGGCUUCUUAACCACUGCGCCACCAGGGAAGCCCUGGAAGGUGGGCCACUGGGGAAGUCCCGAUGUUGUCUAUUUUAAUGGGGGUUCUCAAGCUUCAUCUUCAGCAGCUUCAUCUGCAGAAUUUAUUAAAAAGCAGAUGCCUGUGUCUACCUCUGAUGAGUCUAUUGUGUAUCUGUGGUGGGUUCAGGCAUCUGUAUUUUUUAUAAGCUCCUCAGAAAAUCCUGGUAUAUACACUAUGUUUGCCAAUAAACCUCAUGUGUUCUAUUCCAGUAAUUUUCAAAGAGCCACGUCCUGAACACUUUUUUUUUUUUUUUUUUUACAGUACACGGGCCUCUCACUGUUGUGGCCUCUCCCGUUGCAGAGCACAGGCUCUGGACGCGCAGGCUCAGCGCCCAUGGCUCACGGGCCCAGCCGCUCCGCGGCAUGUGGGAUCUUCCCGGACCGGGGCACGAACCUGUGUCCCCUGCAUCGGCAGGCGGACUCUCAACCACUGCGCCACCAGGGAAGCCCCUGAACACUUUCAUCAUGAAAAUUGUGAGACCACAAUAAAGGCUCCCGCCUGUGUUUUCUCCUUGCCCCUGCGUCUUGCCGAAUCUGAUGCUUCCACAUGUGGACUUGCACAGCGUGACUGCCCUCUCCUCUUGGGAACAGCGAAAUGCAUUCUCUCUGGUAACAAAUGAAGACGGAGUGGCAAGGCUUGCUGUGAAGGGAACGCGAGCCAGCACAGGGCACACAGUCGUGUGUUGCCACGGAAGUUUCGGCAACGGCUGCACCACCGAAGGCAAUUUCUAAGAGAUGGUUGUAAAACGUGACCAAAUCCCCUGCAAGCUAGAGUGCAUCACAGAUUGGCACAAAUGUUUAUGGAGGUCAGAAGUCAGAUUACAUGUCCUCUUAUUUCCAUAGCAAACCUCUCUUUAUUCCACACGUAUGGAACCAAGAUCCGUUUUCCUCACCUGAUCCUUCACCAGGCCAAAGGUUUGGAUACCUGUUUGAGGCCAAGAUAGAGAAAAAGAGGCUGAGUUGGAAAACCUUGUGACCUGGAGGGAGAGAACGGGCUCCAGAAGAAGGGCAUUAGGCCAAGUGUGAAAAAGAAAUGAAAACAUGAAGAGUGUUAAUGAAUGUGAGAUGCCGGAAUAAAGGAGUCUUUGCUCUUCAGCUAUGUGGCAUUGAUCCCACUAAUGGUUUGGCUUCUGAGGAGAGAAAAUCUUUGAUCCGCUCAGUGAGUUGACGGUCACAGGACAGGUGGUCAUGUCAUGCAGGCCAAGUCCGAAGGCCUGGGAAGCAGGGCAUCUCCAGAAGACAGUUUCCAUAAGCGUACAAUCCAGACCAGGGACAAGACUGAUACAUUCACGAAAGUUCUCCUGUCUACUAGAUGAUAAUGGGAUGAAAAUAAUGCAUAUAAAACAAUUAAUAUACUAUUAAUAAGUUACCCCUUCCUGGGAACACAGUGCCUUCAGCCAGUGAAGAUGCUCCAGGUCAGGUGCCUUGACCAUCCAUAGGGAAGUUGGGGGAAGCGAAACCAAUAAUAACAGAGUGUAGGACCCAGGCCUCCUGAACCAGCAUGGACCCUGCCACCCCUGUGGCUUUUCUGAAGAUGCCACCCAAAUGAAGAAAUUGAGGUUGAGACGCGCGAAGUGACUUGUCCGAGUUGACUCUGCUGGUCACAAGGCGCCAGGCUUCCCUACCCAAAUCCGCAGUGAUGUCUCUUUCACUUGGAGGAUAAAGGAAGAACUGAAUUCAAGUUAUUGCAGACUACAGAAUCGCUACCAUUGUAGUGACUGUAGUCUGCAAUUACUACAUCUCUUAGAUAUUGAAAAUCACAUGUAGUAAAAGACUAAUCAUACACAUUUGUUGGGUGUUAGUACCACAGUCCAUCUCCGUAUUUAAGCAGAGUUGAUUGUUUAGAAAAUGUGAGAAAUAAACAGAGAGCUGUUUUCUGGGUCAGUGAGGGUAACCCCUACCUUGGAAGGAUUAAUGCAGGCAUUUAUAGGCAGUGAAUAAGAAUACUGUGGCCGUGUAUGUGGAGGAUCCAGGCAUAGCAUUUAGAAGUUACAGGAACUUGAAAAAUUUCCCUCCACUCUCACCAACUUGUUCAAUGAACUUGACUGGGUGCUUUACAGGGAAGGACUGUACUGAAGGCCACCAAGAUGGACGACACUUGUCCCCUCCCAGACCAUGCGGAAUUAGGAAGACGCCACGGAGAGCGCCAGCCGCAGCUGCGGAAGUGCCUCCCAUGGUGUCCAGCGGGCCAGUUCUCAGGGGACUUAGUUUAUUUAUUUUUUAUUCAAGUAUAGUUGAUUUACAAUAUCGUGUUAGUUUCAGUUAUUCAUACAUACAUAUAUAUGUGUGUAUAUAUAUAAGUAUAUAUAUCCUUUUUCAGAUUCUUUUCCCUUAUAGUACAGAAUACUGAGUAUAGUUCCCUGCACUAUACAGUAGUCCUUGUUGGUCGUCUGCUUCAUGUAUAGUAUGUGUACAUGUCAAUCAGGGGAUUUAUUGAAGAGCAGAAUGGACAGAAUGGAAAUCCAAAUGUCCUCAGACCAUGUUUUCUCUACAGCCUAUGUGAAGAUAUCCUAGGUACUUACUUCAGUUAUUUGCCUCUAAAUAUUUUGUUUGUGGAGCAACGAGACAGAAUUGGGUGAGAGAACCACUGCGCUCUACACGAGGAGGCCUGAGCUCUGAUCGCCAUCACAUUGCCAACUUGGGGAGCCUUUGGGGAGGCCACUUGAAUUGAACGGCAGGACAAACUGGUCAGGAUCCCACGAGAAUGCCUCGUGUAAGCCUCGCCUCUGCUGCGCCUGGCGUAACCUCCAUCGCGUUGCUUAAUCAACCCAGGCCUCGGUUUCCUCAUCUCUACAAUGGGGGCACCGUCAGAGCCCAGCUCACAGGUGAUGGUGAGGCUCAAAGAAGCUGAAAAUCAAACAGGGAGGGCUUCCCUGGUGGCGCAGUGGUUGAGAGUCCACCUGCCGAUGCAGGGGACACGGGUUCGAGCCCUGGUCUGGGAGGAUCCCACAUGCCGCGGAGCGGCUAGGCCCGUGAGCCACGACUACUGAGCCUGCGUGUCUGGAGCCUGUGCUCCGCAACGAGAGAGGCCGUGAUAGUGAGAGGCCCGCGCACCACGAUGAAGAGUGGGCCCCGCUCGCCACAACUAGAGAAAGCCCUCGCACAGAAAGGAAGACCCAAUGCAGCAAAAAUAAAUUAAGUAAUAAACUCCUACCCUCAACAUCUUAAAAAAAAAAAAAAAGCUGAAUAAAAAGAAUAGAAUAAACAGGGAGCCCUGUACGUAGCACUGGGGGUGCCAGGCACUGUCCCACCACUUUCUGUAAUGUUGUUCUUCACUUCUCAGAGCUCCACCUUCCUUAUCUCUACGGUGUACAGAUAAUAGCUGCCUUACUUCCUCUUAUAAGAUUCUGCUGAGGGCCAAGAAAAAACCCUCCAAUAAUUGUGAUUUCAAGAAGAAUAUUCUUUUAAAAUGACAAAGAUAUAUUUGUGGUGAUAAUUAUUAUCAGCAUCACUAGCCUCGGAAUUCCCCUGCUUUACAGAAUCCUUGAGGAGGAGUGCAGGAACCGCAGUGGGCAGAAGGAUCGCAUUUCACAGAAAUACUUGUCCAGCAACGCGUCACCCCUCCCGGCCACCCGCUGCCCGUGGAGCCGUGCUGAGCCGUGACCGUGGAACACGGACAGCCCGAUGCUGAGGACCACCAGUGAUGUGGAAAAGUGGGGACGAGCUAAUGAAAAUGGAAGAGGUCCUAUUUUUUAAAAACUUUUUAUUGGAGUAGAGUUGAUUUACGAUGUCGUGUUAGUUUCAGGUGUACAGCAAAGUGAGUCAGUUAUACAUAUACAUAGAUCCACUCUUUGUUUUAGAUUCUUUUUUCCCAUAUAGGUCAUUACAGAGCAUUGAAUAGAGCUCCCUGUGCUAUAAAGUAGGUCCUUAUUAGUUAUCUACGGAAGACGUCCAAUUUAAGCCUUGUUCAUGUAUUGGAAAUCUGUGCUGCAGUCUAUCCUCCAGUCAUACACCACGCUCAGCAUCGUCUGCCCACGAGAACUUUGGGAGCGUAUUGACUCAAUUGCCCCCACGAGUGAUGAGCUCCCUGUCUUUGCCCGACGGCUCCGGGUCAGUGGGGGCUGCCUGUUGCCCCCUGGCAGACAUGAUGGGGAGGCUCAAACAAGCCUAUUAAUAUUCAGUCAAAUGCCAAUAAAGUCCUUGUCCAAUGCGAUUCAUUCACCAUAUUGAUCUACCCUUUUCAAGCCGAGAGCAAAUUAAGUGAGCAUUGGCUUGUGUUACCUUGAAAACGCAGUACAGGUAAAAAUCAAACUGUAAUCUUCUGUGUACUUGGAAGAUAAAUUGGAAAGGCUAUUCUUUUGGCGCUCAAUUUAGUGUGCCCAACCAUUGUCUGGGGGAAAUCAGGGCCUCUGGCGGCACGGCAGGGUUUAUCAGAAGGUGUCUCUGGAUUUGAAAAUGAUCUGAUGAACAAUUCUGCUUGUGUUCUGCAUCUUCUAAAAAUAGUGUCAACAAAUUGGCACCAUCUCCUAAAUAUCUGCUUACAUCCUAUUUUAGCAGCCAACUCAUGGGUUGCCAGGAGUUUAUAAUAUACCCAUCUCAAAAUAAAAAUGCCUCUCCCGCAAAUUGUAAGAGAGAUCAACAUCAGAUUGGUAGCAGGACAAGGGUUCUCAUGGUGCCCAGUGGGGUGAAAGUCUCUCGGAAACUUGCAAACCCCUAUUUAUGGGCUGAAAAGCUCAUAGAGUUUCUUUUUAAGGAUGUUUUCUUUUAAGGAUGUCUUUAAGGAUGUUGAUAUUUUCUUUUAAGGAUGUUGAAACAUUGCUGUCUUCAUGUUCAACUCGAGGGCCAUUGGAGACUUUGGCCUCAGAGAAGUGGGAGAAGGAGGCGCCUUCAGGAUUCACGUCCACCAUCAUCUCCUGAAGAUGACGAGGGGAUGAGGAGUGAAGGGCCUGCUUUCACAUCCAGCUGGGAUGUGACCGGCUUCCAGCCUGGAGCUCUGAGCAUCCCUCAGGCUCUCAAGGCAUCGCAACAGAUGUGCAGGGAACACAGCGGGUACCAAGCCCACAGGCCUGCCCCUUCCCAAACUCCUGCCUCACGGAGCUUUGUAAAGGAGAUCAUCACCACGGAAUUGAAGAUACAGUCAGGGUUUAAUUAAGCUUGGACUUGAGGCUUCAAGUUGUUUGAAAACUUGAGAUUUACAACAAAACGACCCAAGUAACCUAUAUAACCAGUGAAACAGCCAUCACUCAGAGCAUGCUGAAACAAAAAUCUUUAAGCUGUGUUUGGGAUUCCCCUGGUGGCGCAGUGGUUAAGAAUCCACCUGCCAAUGCAGGGGACAUGGGUUUGAGCCCUGGUCCAGGAAGAUCCCACAUGCCGCAGAGCAACUAAGCCCACGUGCCACAACUACUGAGCCUGCGCUCCAGAGCCCUCGAGCCACAACUACUGAAGCCCGCGCACCUAGAGCCCAUGCUCCACAACAAGAGAAGCCCUGCUUGCCGCAACUAGAGAAAGCCCAUGCACAGCAACGAAGACCCAACGCAGCCAAAAGUAAAUUAAAAAAAAAAAUCUUUAAGCUGUGUUUACACAUCUUCUGUUGGACAGUGGUUACCACGGAACAUUGGAUGGUAACUCAUCGUCCUGACGGUCAAACCUAGUGAGCUCCCUGACUCGUGGUGCUGAGGGAAACCGCCCCCACCCCUCUAUUUCCUCUGAAUGACGUGAUGGGUCCCCUGCGCACUAGAAGCUUCUGGUAUGUUUAAAUGAGCUACGGGCUUAGACUUGAACACUUGGGGUGAAGGCUGGCACAGAACACUCUCAUUCUCCCUGAAGCAGAAGUUACUACCGGACACCCAAUCCCUCCAGCUCCACAGAGGCCUGCCCUUGACUCACGGCAGACACUCUGUAUCAAUAUGGCAACCGAAGCUGCCUCUGUCCCAGCGACUUCUUUAUGUGUGGAAUUUCUCCAAGAGGCAUGAAAAAUAAGUAACUACAUCACAACUUAGUGUCUUUUCUUCUCUGUGUCCACUGUGUUUGAUUAGUCUUCAGCUCCGGGUCCAAAUAUUACUAGGUUACAACGUCUGUGGGCUGUUCAGCUUCCAGCAACCUUUUAGACAGGCCAUUUAAAGAUUCGCGGGACACCAUCCAUAAAAGUCAUUGGUGUUGCCUCUUUGGAUGAGGAACAAGAAAUAGUCAAGAUUUUCCAGUUCAAGUUCUUCAUUUUACGCAUGGGAAAAGCGAGGCCCCCAAUGAUACAGUGACUGGUGCAAAGCUACUCCAUUUCCUGCAGAAGACCUGGGUCUGGAAGCUGGCUCUCCUGAAUCUCACUUCUGCUUUUGUCCCACACGUGGCAGGGAUGCACAUUCUUAAUUAUUCUAUUAAGCAGAUACAGUCAGCACUAAAAUUUGCACCAGGUCCAAUGUUAGCAAGUAUUAGCACUAGUCAAUCAGUGCUAUUAUCAUCCCCAUGCCACCGAGGAGGAGCCCUAGAAAGGCUACUGACUUGCAAGUCAGAGUUUGUAAAAGGCUGUGUGCCCUGAGAGCACAGCAGAUCUACCCCAGAGUCCGUGCUCCAACUGCCCCCAUGCUCUGUCAUCUCCACCGUUCCACGCUACAAGCAGGUAUAUAGGUGUCGGCCCUUGUCACAAAUUCCAAAUGAGAUAUAAUAUCUCCAUCUGGAAAGACAGACCUUAGCUCAACAGGCAACAUUAAAUCAAGGUUUGACUACGUAUCAGCUUGAAAGUUACUUUUCAGGAAUGGUUUUCUUUCCAAUGUUAAGAUUCUUUGAGAAUCUCAAAAAAAAUCAUUUCUUUCUCCUCAUUGUUGCCUUGUGGGCCGAAGGAAUGUUAAUAUGUUUAUCUUCGGUGUCCUAAUUAUUCAAAGGGUUAUGGGAAGAGAGAGCUAGGCUGUUUUCCCAUGCAAGUCUCAGCCAGGAGAGUUCUUUUUUCCCCUUGAUAUAGAAAGCAAAGCAAGAAACAUAAUAAUUCUCAAAGAUGACUCACACCUGCUAAGAUUCCUGUGUUAUGGGCAAAUAUCAAAGCCACCAGAUACUUCGGCUGUUUUUGGCUUCCUCAGCUAUUUUGUGAUAGAAUGGAGGGGAAUGAUGUGAAGAGAGUCAUCUGAUUUGAGGUUGGAGUGAAGAGCACAGGCUCUGGACGCGCAGGCUCAGCGGCCAUGGCUCACGGGCCCAGCCGCCCAACAGCAUGUGGGAUCUUCCCAGACCGGGGCACGAACCCGCAUCCCCUGCAUCGGCAGGCGGGCUCUCAACCACUGCGCCACCAGGGAAGCCCAGGGCUGUCACUUCAGCAGAGUGCCAGCCUCUGGGACUUUGGUAGAAGAGGAUGCAAGUCACCCGUGCCUCUGAUUUUGGCCAUGAGAACGAGAGAAGACAUUGCAACCACAGAAAAAGAUACCUGGCUGCUUGGCCUUUCACUGGAGUCCGAGUGAAGGACUGCCCUCUGAGGCAGCGUUGACAUCUAAGGAAAGGCAUUCACAGCACUCUGUGCUGAACUCGGACUGGACCUGGAAACCCAGACAACCCUUCCAAAGCCUUCCAAAACCUUAUCAUCUUCCAGAACGCUUUACACACAGAAGAUAAAAAUGUAGUUCCGUAUAACACCGCAAGAAAACUUUUGCAAAGGUUAUUACAAAGUAUUUAGCAGAGCUCCCUGUGCUAUACGGCAACUCUUCAUCAGCCACGUGUGGGCUGAGAGGAAGGUUUGGAAUUCUGAGGAUUCCCAGGCUUGGAGUGAAUCCACACCACAUCCUUCUCACGGGACCUUCACUGGGUGCAUGGUAGCAGCACCAAGGCAGGUAAGCCCUCCCGAUGUGCGCGGUACCUGGACCAUGUACGUGGCCGGGCCCUUCUGGAGGCUUGGGGAUGUGCAGGAUGGCCAAGGGAGCUUCCUAGGGCACAGGAGGCUCCUCCUGGAUGCGAGGCAGAAGCAAAUCAAAGCCUGCUCCUCUUGUAGAAGAAUGGAGAGCGAUCUCCAGAGGCUCAGGGAGUGGCUGCUCAUGUGUAAAGUCUGGAGCCUUAAUAAUAAUAUUCGUGUGCUGCUUUAUUAAGCACUUUAACCUUUACACUCUAAUUCUCAUGAUAAACACAUUACGUUUGUGAUGUUAUUCCCAAACUCUGGAGGAUAACUGGCUUACUCUAGGCUUUAGAAAGUGAGUGUGCAGCAAAAUCAGGACAGAGACCCAAGAUUGUUGCCUCUUAGUUUAUGCUUUUCCAAGAAACAAUAGUUACUCUGCUGCUGCACUAUCCUUACCUCAGAAAACUCCUGCUGUAGCAACGUUUGUUGUUGAGGUCUCUGAAAUACCUGUUUUGUUCUGAACCUCUGAACUUUCUUGGCUCAAAAUUGGAAUGACAGCCUUUAACACAUGAUUAUCAUUUUAUAGCAAUGUAUGCAUUUAGAAUUCUGAGUUAUGAUUCACCCAGUUAUCUGAAUUAAAAUAUUUUCCUUGCCUUCACUGUUGGGCUUUGAAGUACCACCGUAAACCCACCUACCCCUUUCCCCAGAGUCUGGGGUAGGCGCUUCAAUAUGCCCCCAUAGCACCAUAAGAUCCCCCACCAUAAUGCCCAUCACAAGAUACUGGACCUUCCAGUUUAUGCGUCUGCUUCUACCCAGCGGUGAGCUCAGGGAUUUUAUGCUUGGAGGAGAAAUUAUUUCGUAUUCAUCUUUUAUCCCAGGGCUUAUUACAGUGGCAUUCAAGGGUCAGUCAAUAAAUACUACUGAAUGACUAAACAAACAGGGUAAAUAAAUGCCUUAGGAGAAUCGGUCACCCCCCGGUCUGCCAUAUCUCACCACGACUACAUUGAUACAUUGAUUAAUAAUUUGCCUGGAAAGAAGCUCCUUUAUGAUGGUGUGGAUGAUAGUAAAAGUAAUAUUUUCAUCGUGUUAUUAAGUGCAGUGUUGUUCAACCUGUCUGCUUAUCUGCCAACGUACGGUCCGGGGCAGAGAUCACGUCAGCUUUGCUGUCGUAUCUACAGCAGUUUGGAGAGCUAUUGGCACACGGUAGUGGCUUACUUUCCUGGGUGAAUAAAUACCUUUUUAUGAUGAUUAUAUAAUACAUGUACAGUUCUGUAAACAUUAUAUAUAUUAGUCAUGCUUUACAUGUACAUAUAUAAAUUUAAACUUAUCCAUCUUUUUCUUCAUUGAUUGUGAUUUUUGUCACUUGUUUAAUAAUUGCUUCUUUUCCCCAAGGCACUGUCUUUAUUUUUUGGUAAGAUUUGGGGGUUUGAUUUUUAUAUAUUGAUAGUUAAUUCAUUAAAAUUGUUUUCUUUUUGUGGUGUGAGGUAGGUAUCAGAUUUUUUAAUGUAUGCGUAAACAAUUUUCCCAGCUCUAUUUAUUGAAUAGCUUAGCUUUUCUUCUCUGAUUUGCAAUGUCAUUUAUCAAUGUUCUAUAAUUAAUAGGCAUUCUUUUCUAUUAUAUAUGUUGGCAUUGAUAUCAUAGUGUUUCCAUUACUACAGUUUUGUAAGUCUUGAUAACUAGCAAGAAAUGUUUUGUUCCUUUUCUUCUCUCUUCUUGAUCUUUCUUAGAGGUUUUUAAAAAGCAAAUUUUUCUUUUGUUGAAGCUCAUUUGCUUUUUUCUUUUUCCAUUUUAUUGAUUUCCUACCUAUUAUGUCUGCCCUAUUUUUAAAAGCUUAUUCUAAGCUUUUAAGUUCUUCAGACAUUUACUUUUAAUCUUUUUCUUUUAUUAAUGCACAUAUUUCCCCUUUUUCUUGGUCCUACUAUAGAUGACUAUGAUGUAGUACACUUUUUGUUAUUCAAUUCUAAAUAUGUCUUAGUUUCCUAUGUGAAUAACUUAUUAUCUUGAGUAAUUUGAGUCCAUUUAAGUCUGUGCUUGUUGCUGAUUUCUAAUUACUUGGAGUUUUGCUCUGAGAAUCUGAUCUGAAUGUGUAUCACUCACACUCUAGCAGGAAGCAGAUGCCGUACUCAAGUGGGUAAUUGAGGAAGGUUUAAUGAAGAGGCUGCUCAUAAAUAUGUAAGCAGGGUUACAGGAAACCAAGAGCGAUGGUUGAAAUGCUCUAAACUAGCAAGAUGGAGGAGCCACUACUACCCUCAGGACUGAAGGUUAAGGAGAGGCAAAGUUGACCAGAACCCAGAGAUAGUAGCUGUUGUUGUAGCAGAGGGUUUCCUGACAGGGGCUGUGGUCUUGGUAGAGAAACUUACUUCAACAUAUAACGACCCAUCACAGAGGAAAGCAGGAAAUAAGUACCCUGAUCUCACUCUGUCGUCCAGUCCAGUCUCCACCAAUGCUUCCCAUUUAUGCGAAACAACCAGAAGCCAGAUGGCAAAGGGAACCAUGGACGAAGUCCAGCCAGUUCAGCCUCCCAGGGUAGGGGCGGAUGGAAGAAAGGCAGAGGGUGGGUUUGGAUGGUAUAAUGAAAGUGUCCAGUACUGUUCAUUCUUUCUGUCCCCUCCAAAGCUUCACUCACCUGUUUGGCAUUCAAGUAAAAUAAAUGUGUUCUCAAUGCCGGGGACAACAAAGUUCCAUGAGCUGCCGUAUAGAUUGAGUGAUGUCAAUACCUGAAAGAUAAAAUGUUAGCCACCCCGAGCUGCCCACCAUCAACUGAAUGUUUUUUCCUGAUAUUCCAAAUCAUAAGAUUGGAUAUUAACAGUAAUAUUAAAUUAUCCCUUGGAAAUGGUAUAUAUCAGAACAGGCACAAGUUAAUUGCACAGGUAGCUGGGUCAUUUACUCACCUGGAAACUGUGCCUAUUUCUGCGUCUACUGCUUUGCCCUCAACACACACCUGUGGCCUCAUGAGGGUUCCCUAUGAAAAGUUAACAAAAAGGGUAGGUCUGGUUUGCAGAUGGAUUUGCAUAAUAUACACAUAGAUAACCAAAUGUAUUACAGCUCCACACAGGGAUGGGUGGAUUUGGGAAAAAAACAGUGAUGAUGGGCAAUCACUUGGGGGGUCAAGCACUAAGUUUCCACCGGGGUCAAUAGGAGGCCAGGAACUGCUUACCAACUUGAGGCUAGUUACUGGCAGAAGACGGCAUGGCUUCAUUCCCAAACCCAAGGGACCAUGCAGUGAUUCUUUCUUUGGGAUUUUUCAGUUGCUGUUAAAAUAUAUUAUCUGCCUCACACACAGGAAAUACCGUAGCAUAUCUUGACACACAGCAUAAGUGACAAGACAGCUUGAACUACUUCCUGGACAUGAUACGGAAGUCUAAGCAGUAGACCUUCUUGUUCUUUACUCUUUCCACCCGCUCCCCCCCCCCCCGCAAACUGGCCAUCUUAAGCGUUACUCAAUAAUCAUGUUACAAGAUCAUGCUUACAUAUCCUAUAUGUAGCCUUCAGAAAGCAAAAAGUCCAUCAACAGUUACGUCUAUUUCUUUGAAAUGGGUGCUACAAAGUGUCACAGUAUAUUUUCCCUUUAGAGUGAAAGUGAAAGACUUUAGGUCUCCAAACUCUGCGGGGCUUCUCUCUUACCCUCUCCCCUUGCUACUUCCUCUCAUCAGCUCCAGUGAGCAAAACGUCAUCAACGUGAUGUGGUACCUGAUGUGAUGUUAAGACAUUCAAUUCCCUCUGGUCUGUCUUAGGACCAAAGCAGGAGAGAUGGAUGAUGUAGGGGUGCUGAUGCUCCUGCCACAAGAGAAUGAGUUGUUUCUGAUCAUCUUUACUGAUAGAAAUGGGGAAAAUUAUCAAUAUAUGCCAGGUCAACAGCCGUAUACUCGGUGGUAGAGCAAUGUUGAUUUGCUUCGGUAAAGAUACCACAUGUGGAACUACAGUUAUGAUGGACAUGAGCACCUGAUUAAGUGUGCGAUAACCCACAGUCAUCCUCCAAGACUCAUCUGGGUUUUGCACCAUUCAAACGGGUAAGGCAGAGGGACUUCCCUGGUGGUCCAGUGGUUAAGACUCUGCCUUCCAAUGCAUGGGGUGCAGGUUCGAUCCCUGCUUGGGGAGCUAAGAUCCCACAAGCCUUAGAGCCAAAAAAACAAAACAUAAAAACAGAAGCAAUAUUGUAACAAAUAAAGACUCCUGUUUUCCUCCUGUUUGUACAAUGUUUUUUUUUAAAAAUCCUUGUGACAGAGCUCUCCUGGUGUGAACCGCAUGGGUUAUGGCUUCAAUAGCAACCAGAAGUGACAGCUCCUAGGUCCUCAUUGGGAGAAGCUUCCUACAUGGGGGAAAGAGGGCUGGAAGGCAUGAACCCUGAGUGGGAGGAGGGCGCUGCAGCAUCACCGGUGCAGGUGAGGGUCAUGGCAAGGAUGCUGGCCGCCAGAGCCACACUCGGUCUCAGUUAUGCUCACCUUUUUGCUGAAGAACAGGGGGAAGCCUGUCCCCUUUCCCUCUCCGAAUCGAUCCAGAGAAGGUGGCCCUGGCCGGCUUGCCACUCUGUAGAGCCUCGAGUUGGCCACCAGGAGGCAGUGCUGUCUCUUCUCAGACGCAAGGGUAGAAGGUCCCGCCUGGCUCGGAGGGAGGAACCUGUCGCCACCCUGGGCUGUUCUGAUCGCAAGCAUUUAAGCGGAGCCUAGAGGAUCCCCACCCCCGCCCCGGUCAGGCAGGUGGGGAUUGAAGUUUCCCUCCAGAAGGUAUUUGCCUGGUUCACCAGAAAACACCUGACGUCCAAUGCUUUAGUCCAAUGAGUUCCCUGAAGGCAGGGCUACUGCCUCUUCAUCUCUCUCCUAGCAGGGCGUGUGCUUAACUGACAAGUCGUCCAGUGAGUGAUUUAAUACAUAAAGCAUCUGACCUUUGCUAAGACGCUGCUUUCGGAGGCAAGGAACCAGGUUUUCAUGUCGGCCCUCCUACCGGUCUGUCGCUGAGAAAUAACUUCUGUCUGAGCCUUCACUCCCCGUGUGUGACUCACUCGCAGAUGUAAAGUCGAACUCUGCUGAAGGCAGGGACACAGUUACGGAUGCAUGUUUUUGAAAGGAAAAAAUGGUUGUGAAUGUGAAAUCCACGUUUCUUCCUUGACUGUUUUAGAUCUUAUAGGGUAGAGUAAAUUUCUUAUGUGAAG